CAGUCGCCGCGGGAAUACGGAGGGUGCAAGCGUUAAUCGGAAUUACUGGGCGUAAAGCGCACGCAGGCGGUUUGUUAAGUCAGGGGUGAAAGACGGUAGCUUAACUAUCGCAGUGCCUUUGAUACUGAUGGGCUUGAAUGUACUUGAAGUGGGCGGAAUGUGACAAGUAGCGGUGAAAUGCAUAGAUAUGUCACAGAACACCGAUUGCGAAGGCAGCUCACUAAAGUAUGAUUGACGCUGAGGCACGAAAGCGUGGGGAUCAAACAGGAUUAGAUACCCGCGUAGUCCCUGUCUCUUAUAC
rnacentral:rRNA from 1 species